UGCAUGUAACUCAGUAGUAGAGUGCUUGCCUAACAUGCUUAUUAAUAUUUAAUAAUAUUUAAUUGAACCCUGGGUUCAAUUCCCAGCACUGCAA
rnacentral:tRNA from 1 species